UAGCAUUCCCCCAUUGUUAGGCAUGUCUAAAGUCUGCCUUUGCUUAAGCAACAGACUCUGUGCAAUCUCCCUAUUCCCCCGACCCCCUUUUGUGUGCUUAUUUAUAACUAGUUCCCUCUCCCUUUCCCCUAUUAGCAUCCUGUUCUGCACUUGCACACUUUCUUAGUCUUAAGUUCUGCUCCCCUUUUGUGAGCCUUGCCUUUGGACCCUUUGAGUUCCCUAUAAACUUGGACGCUUGAGGGCUGGACCUUCCACACUGCACUUUUCCGAAUCUGAUAACACAUUUGGGUGUGAGCAUUGCUCGGGGUUCAUUUGAGACUCUUAGGGAACUUUGACACACUCAAAUGGGAGAAAGGCUUUGGAUCAUGAUCUCAUGGAGUUUGUUUACCUCAUGUUUCAGACAUGAAGUCUGAUCAGGCUCCCAUUGGUUGUACAUUUAUUUUUUUGAUGUAUUUUUACUUUAUUCCGGGCCGUAAUAAUUUGUAAUAAACUCUUGGGGAUGGUUAGUGAAAAGGGUGGGUGAUUGUGUAUGCGAAAUGGGUAGAUACCAUGCCUAUAGGUAUUUCAAAUUUACAUAUACAUAUAGAUACCAUGCCUAUAGGUCAUUAUAAAUUUUACAACUCUCAUAUAGAACUCAUGCCUAUAAGUCUUUCUGAAUUCUGCAACUCUCAUGUAGAAAUCACGCCUAUAAGUCAUUUUGAAAUCUGCACGCAUAUAGAAAUCAUGCCUAUAAGUGUUUGCAAAUCUGCAUAUGCUGAUGCAUAUAAAAAUCAUGCUUAUAGUCCCUUAUGAAUUCUGUACAUUCAUCAUUCAUAUAGAUAUCAUGAUCAUAGGACUACCAUAUUCAAAUAAAAAUUAUACCAAUAGGAUUGUUUAAGUCUGCACAUUCAAUUACACCUAGACAUCAUAUUCAUAGGUCAUAAACAAAGUUCAGCUCCUAGAUAUCAUGUUCAUAGGUCUUAAACAUUCAAUCACAUCUAGAUAUCAUGUUCAUAGGUCUUAAACAUUCAAUCAUAUCUAGAUAUCAUGUCCGUAGGUCUUAAACAAAGUUCAACACCUAGAUAUUAUGUUCAUAGGUCUUAAACAAAGUUCAACAUUUAGAUAUUACGUUCAUAGGUUUAAAAUGAGUCUUCUGCAUUUUAGACCAUGUCUACAGGGUUCAAAAAUUAACUACACGUAGAAAGCAGGUAUAUAGGAACUCUAAUCAAAUCUGAGCCGCUUCAUGCAUGUAUAGAGCUGAAAUCAGUAACCACGAGUACUAUUAGUUGUAGAACUUACAACCAUCAUUAAAAACUGGCUUUCCUUUUAAUAAUCUAACUAUCCUUUUUAACUAGUACAUAUUCAGUUUAUUUAGACCUUGUUAUUUCCUUGUUUUCUGAACUCAGUAGAUACCAU
rnacentral:lncRNA from 1 species